rnacentral:rRNA from 1 species
UGCUAAAAAGCUAGCCUAACUAACAUCUUAACCAAGCUACAUAACUAAUUAAAACACACCUUAACCUAUUUUACUAAACCAUUCUUCCCCUCAAGUAUAGGCGAUAGAAACAGGAAUUUAGAGCUAUACCACUAGUACCGUAAGGGAAAGCUGAAAUAAUAAUGAAAUUACCUGAAAGCUUAACACAGCAGAGAUCCCCUCUCGUACCUUUUGCAUCAUGGUCAAGCUAGCCUAAGUCCGGCGAGGAGAUCUUUAGUCGAACACCCCGAAACUAGACGAGCUACUCCAAGACAGCCCUUAGGGCCAACCCGUCUCUGUGGCAAAAGAGUGGGAAGAGCUUUGAGUAGAGGUGAAAAGCCUACCGAGCCUAGUGAUAGCUGGUUACCCAGGAACUGAAUGUAAGUUCAGCCCUCAUCCUCCCUCUGUCGAACUGAUGAAAUUCCCACUUUGACCUUACUGAGCCUGAGGAGUUAGUCAAGGGAGGUACAGCUCCCUUGAAAGGGUUACAACCUUACCAGGAGGGUUAAGAUCAUUUACCUUAAGGUUAAGAGACCAGGUAGGCUUAAAAGCAGCCACCCUUGAUGAAAGCGUCAAAGCUCAAACUUAUAAUAACCUAUUAUUAGGAUAAUAACUUCUUAACCCCCUACCACUACUGAGUUAUUUUAUUCAACAAUACAAGAAAUAAUGCUGGAACUAGUAAUAGGAGGCCUAGAGCCUCUCCUUGCACGAGUGUAACCCGGAAUGGACCUUCCACCGGGAUUUAACCGACCUCAGUCCUAGAGAGUACUGAUCUCCUAACCAAAAACUAGAAAAGCGAUCAUUCCUUAUCGUUUACCUUACACAAGUGUGCUUAUGGGAAAGACUAAAAGAUAGGGAAGGAACUCGGCAAACCUGUACCCCGCCUGUUUACCAAAAACAUCACCUCUUGCAGUAUUAGAAUAAGAGGCCACGCCUGCCCGGUGACUAAUAGUUUAACGGCCGCGGUAUUAUGACCGUGCAAAGGUAGCGUAAUCACUUGUCUCUUAAAUGGGGACUAGUAUGAAUGGCGACACGAGGGUGCAACUGUCUCCCCUAUCCAGUCUAUGAAACUGAUCUCCCCGUGCAGAAGCGGGGAUUUAAACACAAGACGAGAAGACCCUGUGGAGCUUAAGACGUCAGGAGUACAUGUUACCUACUUGCCUUUAAGCCAUGUAAACUAAACGUUUCCUCCCUUGACUGUCUUUGGUUGGGGCGACCGCGGAGACAAGGCAAACCCCCGCGAGGACGGGGUCAAUGACCCUUUAACUAAGAGGAACCUCUCUAAGUGUUAGUAUUUCUAGCCCUUAAUGAUCCGACUUAUCGAUCAACGAAACAAGUUACCCCAGGGAUAACAGCGCAAUCCUCUUCCAGAGCCCUUAUCGACAAGAGGGUUUACGACCUCGAUGUUGGAUCAGGACAUCCUAAUGGUGCAGCCGCUAUUAAGGGUUCGUUUGUUCAACGAUUAAAGUCCUACGUGAUCUGAGUUCAGACCGGAGAAAUCCAGGUCAGUUUCUAUCUGUGAUUGAACCUUUUCUAGUACGAAAGGACCGAGAAGGUCGGGCCCAUGCUUAUGGCAUGCCCGCCCCAUACUAACUGAAUCUAAAUAAAGUUAGUAAGUGGGCAGGGCCCCACGCCAAAGAGCAUGGCUA